GUGCCAGCCGCCGCGGUAAUACAGAGGGUGCAAACGUUGUUCGGAAUUAUUGGGCGUAAAGGGCGCGUAGGCGGCCCCGUGUGUCUGGUGUGAAAACCCACCUCUCAAGGGUGGAAGUGCGCUGGAAACUACGGAGCUCGAGUGCCGGAGAGGGUAGUGGAAUUCCCGGUGUAGAGGUGAAAUUCGUAGAUAUCGGGAAGAACACCGGUGGCGAAGGCGGCUACCUGGACGGACACUGACGCUGAGGCGCGAAAGCGUGGGAAGCAAACAGGAUUAGAUACCCUGGUAGUCCACGCCGUAAACGAUGGGUGCUAGGUGUUGUGGGUAUUGACCCCCGCAGUGCCGACGCUAACGCAUUAAGCACCCCGCCUGGGGAGUACGGCCGCAAGGCUAAAACUCAAAGGAAUUGACGGGGGUCCGCACAAGCGGUGGAGUAUGUGGUUUAAUUCGACGCAACGCGAAGAACCUUACCCAGCCUUGACAUCCCAGGAACGCCUUAGAAAUAAGGGGGUGCCCCGAAAGGGGAGCCUGGAGACAGGUGCUGCAUGGCUGUCGUCAGCUCGUGUCGUGAGAUGUUGGGUUAAGUCCCGCAACGAGCGCAACCCUUGCUCGUAGUUGCCAGCGAGUUAUGUCGGGCACUCUACGAGGACUGCCGGCGUUAAGCCGGAGGAAGGUGGGGAUGACGUCAAGUCCUCAUGGCCUUUAUGGCUGGGGCUACACACGUACUACAAUGGGCGUUACAAAGGGCUACGAGACCGCGAGGUGGAGUGAAUCCCAAAAAAACGCUCUCAGUUCAGAUUGCAGUCUGCAACUCGACUGCAUGAAGGUGGAAUCGCUAGUAAUCGCAUAUCAGCAGGAUGCGGUGAAUACGUUCCCGGGCCUUGUACACACCGCCCGUCACACCACGAAAGUCGGUUGCACCAGAAGUGGUUUGCCAAACCGUAAGGAAGGCGGCCCCUAAGGUGUGGCUGGUGAUUGGGGUGAAGUCGUAACAAGGUAACC
rnacentral:rRNA from 1 species